rnacentral:rRNA from 1 species
UACAGAGGUCUCAAGCGUUGUUCGGAUUCAUUGGGCGUAAAGGGUGCGUAGGCGGCGCGGUAAGUCGGGUGUGAAAUCUCGGAGCUUAACUCCGAAACUGCAUUCGAUACUGCCGUGCUUGAGGACUGGAGAGGAGACUGGAAUUUACGGUGUAGCGGUGAAAUGCGUAGAUAUCUGGAGGAACACCGGUGGCGAAGGCGGCAUCCUGGACCAAUACUGACGCUGAGGAGCGAAAGCCAGGGGAGCAAACGGG